AUGCCCAAGCGCACCAUGGGAGGGAGGGCUGACGCCGGGGCCGACGCCAUGGUGUCACCUACGCCGGAGCAGGUGGCUCCUCCGCCGGAGCAGGUGACUCCUCUGCCACGCCAUCUGCUUCCUCUGCCACGCCAUCUGCCUCCUCUGCCGCAGCCCUUGGUCAAUGUCGACGGCGACGACGAUGAAGAAGAGGUAGCUGCUCUGGCUCCUCAGACAGAGCAGGUGUCUCCUCUACCGCGGGUGACGCCUCCUGUGCCCAAGCCUGUGGUCGUCGGCGAUGUCAACAAAGAAGACCCUCAACCGGGUGUUCGUCUGCCGCGGUUGUUGCCUCCCCUGCCCCCACCUGUGGUCGUCACCGACGAGAACGAAGAAGAGGUUUUCUCUGGUCAGUACAAGGCAAAUAAGGUCCUAAGUGACGAUGUUGACAGCGACCCAGAAACACAGAGGAUCUUCAAGAGGCAGAAGGUGAGGCAGCUGGACAGUGGUGAGCUCGAGAAAGCUGUGAGGCCUAGAUUCGGAAAGGGCUACGGAUGCCCUUACUGCAACAAGGUGAUGAAAGGCGACCUGUCGAGUACCAUCAACCAUGCAGUCGGAACAUCCCAAGGCAACACCAAGAAUGGCUACGCUUUCAGGGUGAAGCACGUCGUGUAUGCCGAAUACUUGAUGAGGCUUCUUUGA
rnacentral:rRNA from 1 species